rnacentral:rRNA from 1 species
UUGCCAGCAGCCGCGGUAAUUCCAGCUCCAAUAGCGUAUAUUAAAGUUGUUGCAGUUAAAACGUCCGUAGUCAAACUUUAGUUUUACUGGCGUAGUGGCUUGGUCUUCACUGACCAAGCUCAUUGCUGCCGGAGACUCCAUGUUCAUUAGGGGAAAAUCUCUAGGGGUUUUUUUCUUAUUUGAACAAUUACCAUGAGCAAAUCAGAGUGUUUAAAGCAGGCUUUUAAGCUUGAAUGUGUUAGCAUGGAAUAAUGAAAUAUGACUUUAGUCCUAUUUUCGUUGGUUUAGGUACUUCAGUAAUGAUGAAUAGAAACGGUUAGGGGCAUUUGUAUUUGGUCGCUAGAGGUGAAAUUCUUGGAUUGACCGAAGACAAACUACUGCGAAAGCAUUUGACCCGGGACGUUUUCAUUGAUCAAGGUCUAAAGUUAAGGGAUCGAAGACGAUUAGAUACCGUCGUAGUCUUAACCACAAACUAUGCCGACUAGAGAUUGGGCGUGUUUAUUAUGACUCGCUCAGCAUCUUAGCGAAAGUAAAGUUUUUGGGUUCUGGGGGGAGUAUGGGACGCAAGGCUGAAACUUAAAGGAAUUGACGGAAGGGCACCACCAGGAGUGGAGCCUGCGGCUUAAUUUGACUCAACACGGGGAAACUCACCAGGUCCAGACAUAGUAAGGAUUGACAGAUUGAAAGCUCUUUCUAGGUUCUAUGGGUGGUGGUGCAUGGCCGUUCUUAGUUCGUGAGUGAUUUGUCUGGUUAAUUCCGAUAACGAACGAGACCUUAUUCUGCUAAUUAGACAGGCCAACUCUUUCGGGUUGGUCUAAUAUGAUAUAUUUCACUG